rnacentral:lncRNA from 1 species
UGGUAAUGUGUGUCAUUGGAAUUUCCACCUUGGGCUCCCAAACUCCUUGCACCAGCAUUAGAGUGAAAACCUCCAGCUUAACCCGUAACAGAUGGGCAGGAGAUAUUGAAGGAUGCAGUUCCUUUUACUCAUUGACAGCCCAGCUAAGGAGGAAGAAAGGUUGCUAGGGGGUGCAGAUCUCACAGAGUCUAUAAAUGCUCCAGGACUCUGCCAAAGAGAAUCUUGGCAGGAAUGUGAGGGAUGAGUUUCACUUCAUGGCCUAUAAAGCCCUUUGGGAUCCUCUGGGGUGAGAACUGCUGGAAUGCACAGGAUUCAAGUUAUCACCCAGCCUGUAAAUCUUUGGGAUCCCAAGGGAAAUGGGGUGCUAUAUAGCUUGGGAGGUUAGUCCAUAAACCCUUUUAAGUAUCUGGCUGGGAGUGGAAGUGCCUUGCUGUGUGAGGUUUACUUUAAAUUUUCACAGCUUGUGAGGCCCUGAAGGAUCUUGCAAAAGGGCACUUGACUUCCCAGACAGACAGUGUGUGUCUCAUGGGGAAAUUUAAGGCUAAGCUUUCCAGUUAAUAUUUUCAUGCUGGUCAUUAUUUGCCUGCAUAUUAGCAGCUCAGUUUGUUAUUUCUCCAUGGUAUAGGCAGUGAAUCUCUACCUGUCCCAGACUUUCCAGUUGCUGAUAUAUGUGGAAUACUUCGCAGACUCAUAAAACAUGAAAGCACAAAACUGAGUUUAUUGGAAACUGUCAUUAGUAUUUAUUUUGUUAUUAUUGAUUAUAAUAAUUUAUUAACCCGUUAGAAAGAUGUAUAAACUGCUGAAAUCACAAACAAAAACGAGUAAGAUAGUUCUAAGAAACAGAAGGAAACAUUCAAUAUUGCUCACAAGUGAACUCGUUUUGAAAAAGCCUUUUAACAACAAAAGGUGUUAGCAUCUCACCAAAUGUAUAUGACGCUGUCAUCUAAACAUACUGUAAAAACAUAUAAAGCAGUUAUAACCAGACGUCAAGUAACCAUUGUGGAAGGAUGUAUUCUUAAUUGCCUGCAUAGGCUGGGUGGAAUAAAAAAGUUUCCAGCAGCUAUUUAAAAGUUGGCACAGAGGGUGUCCACUGAAUCUCUCAUUGACAAAGCACUCCACAGGACUGAGCUGAUGUUUCUUGUUGUCAAAGGAGCCUCACCAACUUGUAGAAUAACCGACACUCCUGCAGAUGACCUUAAUGAUCGAGCGGGGAUAUAAGGGUUCUUAGCAUCCUAUGUUUGGAGACCAGGGCUGGCCCACCCAUGAGGCAAGCUGAGGCAGCCACCUCAGGUGGCAGGAUCCACAGGGCUGCAGAUCCAGCCUCCACAGAAUGCAUCAUGCCCCACCAUUGUGUUCCUACGGUGGCCGAUCAGAUUCUUACGGGAAGCUACAAGCACUAGUACUCAAAAGCUUCUGAUACUGCAGAUGGCAUAUAGCUAGUCUGAAUAGCCACAGAUAGUCUUGUCCUCCCUGAAUUUGUCUAAUACUGGUUUAAAGCCGUAUAAAUUGGUGGCUAUUACCCUUAUGACUUAGUAGAUUUAAUCAUCUCUGGUGCUACCACUACCCCAUCCUCAUCUGCUCUGUGGGUAGGGAGCUCAAGGAACUUGCAAUGUACACAUCUGUCUUAUCCCCGCACUGAAGGGUGUCUCUCACAGUAUCCUCUCCAGUAGGGCUAAUUUUGUCUGACGUGUGAGUUUGUAGGAUGCUAUGUGGUUUUUGAACCUACCAGUGAAAUGCACAAAUCCGUCAAGGUCUGCAAAGUGAGAGCACGAAAGGAGAGAGUACACCCCACCAAGAUACCUGAUACUGCAAACUCCAGAGUAAACUUAGCAUGGCCUUUUGGAAAGUACUCCAUGUGGUGAGGCACAUAGUAAAUUACUGCUUCAAAUGCCAACAAAUACUUAGGGAUUAUCAGAACUUAUUAAACAAGACUUCCAAACUGAUUGGGCAAGAAAGCUUCCAGCCUUAAUUAUCUCCUGGCAAACCUAAGCAAUGGCCGACACAGCCCCCCCUUAUAUUCCACUGGGAACAGAGAUGAUUUAUUGUAAUCAUUCUUCCAACGUGGAAAUAGCUACAUGUGAAUGAGAAUUUCACAAAGUCAUUGAGAACGCUGCAAGGUAUUGAGGGAUACUAGAAUUUGUCAUCACUGGGACAGACACAACAGUCAUUCAUAACAAGCUCUCCAACAAUGCCUAAUGAGAAAGUACAGCUUCUGUGCAGUUGUGUAUGUGUGUCAAGCUUACCUGUCAACUGAAGGCAUUCUAAGGCCACCGUAGCCAUGAAGUUAAUUGUGCAGGUGCAGUUAACAUGCACAUUUCUUGUCUUGUAAAUUGCAGCUUAGGGGGAGCCUAAACAGUCUCAGGACAGGGGUGGUGUGUAAAUAGAGGCUUUGCUGAAGUGGUUUUUGUUGGGAUCAUACCAGGGGGAGAGAGGCUGCAUACACACCUAUCCAUUUGCGGCAUAAAAAUUUAGUUUUUCUCAAUAUGGAAUAGUUUGUUCUCAUCCUUAGCAUGCUAAUUUCAAUCUGUAUCGAUUCUGGAUCCUGCUAUCCAAAAGGAUGUAUACGGCUACUUGAUAUGUAUUUCAAAAUCCUUCCCGAUUAGGGUAUCCAUGUCUUUUCCUCCUGCAAAUGCCCCAGGUGAGUGAAGAAGGAAGUGGCGAUUGUGAUCUUGGUGCAUGUGAACUUCUAUUUUGUAAACUGCUUUUGAGGUUUAUUUCUACAAUCAAGCGGUAUGUAAAUUUUAUGAAAUUAAAUAAACAUGUCACUUCACAUGUGGAGUAAUGCUGAAUCGAUUUGCAAUCAGCUCUUAUUUUCAGAAUGGAACCAGCUUCUCAAGAAGUGUUUUUCAGGAGCAGAAAGUAUGCAAUAAAUCAGGACUGCACUACAUAGGAAAAACAAGUACUCAGUCUCUAAUAUUUUGGAAUAAAAUGUCACACGUAAAAAAAAUCAGAGAAACUCCUCAUUCUCCGUGAACCUGAGGCUGCUCAGGUUUCCUUUUGCCUGCAAUUUACAUAACAAAAAACAAGGAAGCAAUUAGUAUCAUGCCUAGUUUGGCCCUGAGAAACUGAAUAGCUACUAGUAUAUUUCAGCUGGAAAAAUCUGCAUUUUGGGGAGGGGUGAGAUACUGUGUAAUAAUAAUACAAGCAAACAACUGUUAUGACAUCUGAAGAGGGAAAUGGUCUAAUAAUAAUUGUCUACUAACCCCUUGUUUCCAUUACAUAAGCACACCAGUUUCCCUUUGGCAAAUGUCAGAGUGAUGUUGCUGUUGCUACAGAAAUCUCCUUUUGAAUUGUAUUCCAUGUGAGGUAGAGAAAUGCUACUCAUGGUGGCUUUAGGUAGAAGAAGAGUUUGGAUUUGAUAUUCCGCUUUAUCACUACCCAAAGGAGUCUCAAAGCUGCUAACAAUCUCCUUUCCCUUCCUCCCCCACAACAAACACUCUGUGAGGUGAGUGCGGCUGAGAGACUUCAAAGAAGUGUGACUAGCCCAAGGUCACCCAGCAGCUGCAUGUGGAGGAGCGGAGACGCAAACCUGGUUCCCCAGAUUACGAGACUACCACUCAACCACUACACCACACUGGCUCUCUGGUAGGAGGAAGAAGGGCAGCUAACAUAUUCCUCAUCAAGGUGAGACAGGGACUGGGGAAUUAAACUCUUACCUUUUGCACGCUACAUUUCAACUACACAAAAGCUUGAGGGUUCAAUACACAAACACACACCUCUAUCCUCUAUCCAGGAACAUAAGAGGCAUCAUCAGACUUUAAGGGCAUUUAUAGCCAAGCAAAAGCACUCAAGGAUGUGGAGCAGGAACAGUUAAGAGUGGGGCCUGGGGAGAGGGAGAAUAGUCUCUAGGAAGAGUCUCAAGGGCAUUCAGCCCUCAGACUUGAGGUUCCUCACCUGUGUUGUACAACCUCUGACAAGAGGGCCUCCACAACCUGCUCCAUCAGUACUGCUUUCCUUACAUCGUCAGAUAAUAAAAGUACACAGGCACCACCUCAGGUAUGAAGCUCUUCCAAAGGCAGUGUUUUGCUUCAGGAUGGUCUGACACAGCAAGGAAUCCCUUUGUGCUGUUCCUGCCAGGAGGGCCGAGGGUGCCUGUUGAGGUAUAUGGAUAUUGGCUGAUAUGAAGUUUCUUUGUUGUUAUCCUGACACCUAGUGGUGCCGCUUGCAAGAAUAGAACCCCACAUCUCAGCGGACACUUGGGAAAGAUACUUCGCCGAUCUGUAUGCAGCUCAUGAUGCCUGCGGAGAUACGGUGGAGCCGGAAGCACUGCCCGAUUGGGACCCAGUUACAUGCCCUGAAGUUGAAACUCUCAUAGAUCGAUUUAAAGCAGGCAAGGCCCCGGUGAUGACCUUAUAUCCAUUGAUGUCAUCAAAGCAAAUAAAGAUUGGUGGAUCCCACUUUUAGCAGCACUUUACACGCAUAUAAACAAAACAGCAAAAUUUCCCUCAAGCUGGAGCUCUGCGUUGAUUGUAUUAAUACAUAAGAAAGGACCUCGUACAGAGCCGAGCAACUUUAGGCCAAUCAGCUUGCUAAAUGUCAUUGGGAAGAUUUACUCGGGAUACCUGCUAAACAAACUAUCGAAAUGGAUGGAGGACGACAAUAUCAUUGCCGAUGAACAGGCGGGCUUUCGCCCUGGAAGAUCUACCACAGACCAAAUAUUAAUCUUGAAUCACCUGGCGGAAAAGUAUGCCGGCAAAGCCCCAAAGGUUCUUCAUGUGGCUUUUAUUGACCUUAAGCAGGCAUUUGAUCGAAUCUCUAGAAAGCAGCUAUGGACAAAACUGGCCGCUACAAAGAUCGAUUGCCGUCUCCUUCAUCUGAUCACCAGCCUCCAUACAAACACCUUUCUGAGAAUCAGGCUAGACAAUAAAGGCCUAGUCUCCAACCCGGUUACCACCACUAGAGGGGUAAGACAGGGUUGUCUAUUGGCCCCAGCAUUGUUUAAUUUUUACAUUAACUCACUGGUGACUCACAUGGCCAAUGAUGCUUUCCACCCCCCCAAAUUAGCAGGCCGAUCUCUGAACGUUCUUCUGUAUGCGGAUGACGCCGCACUUCUUGCCAGAUCCCCUAUUGGACUGAGGAGAAUGUUGCAAGCUCUACAUGAAUACUGUGAUCAGCAUGAGCUCCAACCUAACUAUGCUAAGACCAAGAUCAUGGUCUUCUCUGUCCGACCGAGACUCCAUCGAUGGUCGAUGAACAGGAUCCCCCUAGAGCAGGUUAACUGCUUUAAAUAUCUGGGACAAGUAAUACGGUCAAAUAGAGCCCAUAGAGACUAUAUAACAACUAACGCAUCUAAAGCAGCCAUCCAGAUUAGAUCUCUAUAUGCUAAGAACCAGGCUCAAUCAGUGAAGAUAGCUUUGAGACUCUUUCAAAUGAAAGUCCUCCCCCUUCUUUUGGUGGGCAUCUCUUUAGGCUCCCGUAGGGAUUUUUUGAAACUGGAUUCUAUCCAAACGCGAUUCCUUAGAGCCAUCCUUAGGAUUCCCCCCUCGGUAGCGGGUGCGGUUAUGAGAUUAGAGGUCGGCUAGCAAGCUCUACGGUAUGUGGCCUUGAAGACGAAGCUCUGGCUAUGGCUCAAGCUUUGUUUUAAACCAGUGGGUAUUGCCCCCUUGAUAUUGAGGGACAAUUUCCAAUCAUCGUGGGAAAGGGAGGUCAUUAAUGAGGUUCAAUCCUGCGGAUUGUCUCUCCUUUACUUCGAGUCUAUGACGUACAAUCAAGCUAGAGCUGUGAUCUCCCGGAGACUGAGUGACAUUGCCAGACAAGAGGACAUAGCCCAGGUAAAACCAGGGAUGUUCCUAGGGGACCAGAUUUAUCGGACCAUACCAGCCCCCCUACCUUGCAGAAAUCCACUAUGUGGAAUACCGUAGACUUCUUACAGCGGCUAGAUUAAAUGUCCUUGACUCUACGAUAUUGUGGGGAAGGUACAGGGGAGUACCAUACGCCCAGAGAACUUGUCAUUGUGCCAUGGGGGUGGUUGAGUCCACCAAACACAUUCUCUUGACUUGCCCUUCUUAUGCAGAGCUUAGACAAAAUUUUAUAGACCCACUCCUAUGUCAAUUCAGCCUCCUACCCGGAGAAAACCAGGUUUUACACUUGCUGAAUAACGCCACUAGAGCUAUACCUUCCUUGGUGGCCAAAUUUCUCUUCUUAGCUUUUAAGCGUCGCAAGACUAUAAUUGACUGUAUUGAUAUGGGGCUAUCUGUUUAGCCCAUUUUAGUGUUGGCUAAGUUUUAAAAUCUUCCUGGAUGUUUUUAACUGUGUAUUGACAACAUGUACUUUUUUCUGACUGACAGUUGAAUAAAAAGGAUGAUGAU